AGAAGGUUUCCAUUACAUCUUAAGAACAAUGUACAAAAUCUCCCAAAAUUGAGAAACAAAAGACAACAAACCAUCACAGUGGCAAAACCCACAAAGAUUCAUCAAGAAAUUGGGAGAAGAAUCACCACACAAGGUUCAACAUUUUAUUCGAUUUCGACGAAUAGGUGCAUAUGAUCUUGUCUACGUCAAGAGUUCCUCACUAACUAGUAUAAUCUAAUCCCGG
rnacentral:lncRNA from 1 species